CCUACGGGAGGCAGCAGUGAGGAAUAUUGGUCAAUGGACGAGAGUCUGAACCAGCCAAGUAGCGUGAAGGAUGACGGCCCUAUGGGUUGUAAACUUCUUUUAUCUGGGAGUAAAAUGUUCCACGUGUGGGAUUUUGUAUGUAACCUACGAAUAAGGAUCGGCUAACUCCGUACCAGCAGCCGCGGUAAAACGGAGGAUUCGAGCGUUAUCCGGAUUUUUGGGGUUGAAAGGGAGCGUAGGUGGUUUGUUAAGGCAGUUGUGAAAUUUUGCGGCUCAACCGUUAAAGUGCAGUUGAAACUGGCAUUCUUGAGUACAGUAGAGGUAGGCGGAAUUCGUGGUGUAGCGGUGAAAUGCUUAGAUAUCACGAAGAACUCCGAUUGCGAAGGCAGUUCACUGGACUGCAACUGACACUGAGGCUCGAAAGUGUGGGUAUCAAACAGGAUUAGAUACCCCAGUAGUC
rnacentral:rRNA from 1 species